rnacentral:tRNA from 1 species
CGGGGCAUGGCGCAGCCUGGUAGCGCACCUGGUUUGGGACCAGGGGGUCGUAAGUUCGAAUCUUACUGCCCCGACCA